CCUACGGGAGGCAGCAGUGAGGAAUAUUGGUCAAUGGACGAGAGUCUGAACCAGCCAAGUAGCGUGAAGGAUGACUGCCCUAUGGGUUGUAAACUUCUUUUAUAUGGGAAUAAAACGUUCCACGUGUGGGAUUUUGUAUGUACCAUAUGAAUAAGGAUCGGCUAACUCCGUGCCAGCAGCCGCGGUAAUACGGAGGAUCCGAGCGUUAUCCGGAUUUAUUGGGUUUAAAGGGAGCGUAGGUGGAUUGUUAAGUCAGUUGUGAAAGUUUGCGGCACAACCGUAAAAUUGCAGUUGAAACUGGCAGUCUUGAGUACAGUAGAGGUGAGCGGAAUUCGUGGUGUAGCGGUGAAAUGCUUAGAUAUCACGAAGAACUCCGAUUGCGAAGGCAGUUCACUGGACUGCAACUGACACUGAGGCUCGAAAGUGUGGGUAUCAAACAGGAUUAGAUACCCUAGUAGUC
rnacentral:rRNA from 1 species